UUAGCUCAUAUUUGUAUGGAAUGGGAUCGUUUGCGUACGUUUGCCGCUAGGGGGCGCUGUUCCAACUACAUACAAAAUUGGGUUA
rnacentral:pre_miRNA from 1 species